rnacentral:rRNA from 1 species
GAUGAACGCUGGCGGCGUGCCUAAUACAUGCAAGUCGAGCGAACAGAUGAGGAGCUUGCUCCUCGGACGUUAGCGGCGGACGGGUGAGUAACACGUGGAUAACCUACCUAUAAGACUGGGAUAACUUCGGGAAACCGGAGCUAAUACCGUAUAAUAUAUUGAACCGCAUUGUUCAAUAGUGAAAGACGGUUUUGCUGUCACUUAUAGAUGGAUCCGCGCCGCAUUAGCUAGUUGGUAAGGUAACGGCUUACCAAGGCAACGAUGCGUAGCCGACCUGAGAGGGUGAUCGGCCACACUGGAACUGAGACACGGUCCAGACUACUAAGGGAGGGAGCAGUAGGGAAUCUUACGCAAUGGGCGAAAGCAUGACGGAGCAACGCCGCGUGAGUGAUGAAGGUCUUCGGAUCGUAAAACUCUGUUAUUAGGGAAGAACCAAUGUGUAAGUAACUAUGCACGUCUUGACGGUACCUAAUCAGAAAGCAACGGCUAACUACGUG